rnacentral:lncRNA from 10 species
GGAGGAGUGACGGGAACCGGGAGCCGGCUCCAUGCGCCUGGAGCGCGCGGGUCCCAGCGCCCAUCGGCCCGGGGUCCGAGGGGCCCGCUGCCCGGGCUCGCUGCGUGGUGCUACCGCCCCCGGGCCCGCUGCGCCGCGUCGGAGCCCCAGCAGACUUUGAGAGGCGUGUGCGACAGUGCGCGUCCUCUCCUGCCUCUGGAUGUUUCCUUGGAGCCUCUGGCCUUCGGGAAGACCGCCUGAUGGCCUGGUGUUGGGCCUGAUCACCCCAAAAUUUCAGGCACCCAACGUGGGGCUAUGAAGACCAUGGUAAAGAAAUGCUAGAGUAUAUGGAAAUGAAGGACAUAUCAUCAAAGGACACCCGAGGAUGGCUGAAAGAAGCUUGGUGGGUAAGCUGGGCACUCUGAAGAACCAAGUGCCACUGGGUUAGAGUCUCCCCGACCAAGCUGGUCUCAGCAAGUGGUCUCCAUCAUGGGGGCUCGAAUCCAGGUUGAAGGGUCACCAGAGUGAUGGUUGGAGAACAUGGAACUAGCUGGAGGACACCUGAGUACUCUUAAAGCAAACCCCGUGGCCAAAAUCAAUAACCAAUUUGGAUACCAUCAAGACACCUGAAACCUUAUCAUGAGCCAGAUGCUGAGGAAGAGAUUCCAGGAGGAUCCUGAGGACCCCCUGGUUGCAGCCACGUCGAGGCUGACACUGAGGAGGACCCCAACUGUCAUGAGCAACACCCGUCGAACACAGCCAUCCACCUGGGGACAAAUCAAGAAGCUGUCACAGAUGAUGGAAGAAAACCUGAGGAAAGCGGGACAACCAAUCACAAUGAGUAAUUUGGUGAUCUAUCACAGUGAUGAUCACCAUUGCCAUGAGUAUUCCUUCAACAAGGGCUGACACAGAGAACAAUUAUACUUAUUGGGCAUAUUUAUCAAUCUUGUCUGGCAAUAAUGCCUAGAUGAUUUCACUCUAUGGCACAGUUACACAUGCUUUCUGAUCUCAGUAUUUACCAUAAUAAAUCUGCUCCUAUAAUUGAGGCAUACCACCCUCAAAAACCUAUUUGUAAACAAAAUAGAACCUGGCCAGAAAUAAUGAACAACUUGUUUAGUAAGAUUGCAUUGCAGAACAGGCAGAGAUGCUACGCAAUGAUUCCUAUGGGAUCAUUGAUUGGUCCCCUAAGGGGAUGUUUAGCUUAAAUUGCACCUCUCAGUCUGCAUGCCAUGGCCACACUAGUUCAGAUGGUCUGAACAAAGUGGUCAGAUGGCAGAAAUGAUAAGAAGUAUGGCAAAAGUUCCUAUUGUCUGGAACCAUGGCAGUAUAGUGUCACCUCAACCUCAAAUGAUAUGGCUCAUUGUAGGAGCUAAACAUAAGGAUUUGUGGAAACUAUUAAUAGCUCUUAAUAAGAUCAAAAUUUGGGAAAGAAUAAAAAAAGCAUCUAGAAAGACACUCUACAAACUUGUCUUUGGAUAUUACAAAAUUAAAAGAACAAAUAUUUAAAGCAUCCCAGGUACACCUGACCUUAAUGACAGAAACUGGAGUGCUUGAAGGAGCUGCAGACAGAUUAGCAGCUAGUAACCCAUUAAAAUGGAUAAAAACACUUGGAAGCUCUGUGAUUUCAAUGAUGAUUGUGCUUUUAAUCGGUAUUGUUUGUCUUUGUAUAGUGUGCAGAUGUGGAUCCUGACUCCUGUGAGAAGUAGCUCACAGUGUCAAAGCUGCCUUUGCUUUUAUCGAUUUGCAAAUCAAAUAAGGGGGACAUAUUGGGAACAGCACCCCCCCCCCCAAAAUCUGGCCAUAAACUGGUCCCAAAACUGGCCAUAAACAAAAUCUCUGCAGCACUGACAUGUUCAUGAUGGUCUUAAUGCCCACGCUGGAAGGUUGUGGGUUUACCAGAAUGAGAGCAAGGAACACCUGGCCCACCCAGGGUGGAAAACCACUUAAAGGCAUUCUUAAACCACAAACAAUAGCAUGAGUGAUCUGUGCCUUAAGGCUGUGCUACUGCUGCAGAUAACUAGCCCAACCCAUCCCUUUAUUUCAGCCCAUCCCUUCGUUUCCCAUAAGGGAUACUUUUAAUUAAUCUAAUAUGUAUAGAAAGAAUGCUAAUGACUGGCUUGCUGUUAAUAAAUAACGUGGGUAAAUCUCUGUUGGAGGCUCUCAGCUCUGAAGGCUGUGAGACCCCGGAUUUCCCACUUCACACCUCUGUAUUUCUGUGUGUCUGUCUUUAAUUCCUUUAGCACCACUGGGUUAGGGUCUCCCCGACCGAGCUGGUCUUUGCACUUCUCACUUCUGGAUAUAGGCCUCCCUAGAGGGUUUUUUUUUUCUUUUUUGAUAGGAUCUUGCUCUUUCAUCCAGGCUGGUGUGCUGUAGUGUAUUCAUGGCUUGCUGCAGUCUUGAUCUCCCAGACUCAAGUAAUCCUCCCAUCUCAGCCUCCUGAAUAGCUAGGACCACAGGCCUGUGCCACCAUGUCUGGCUACUUUAAUUUUUUUUCCCUUAGAGACAGAGUCUCACUAUGUUGCCCAGGCUGGUCUCACAUUCCUGCACUCGUCAUCUUCCUGCCUUGGCCUUCCAAAGUGCUGAGAUUACAGGCAUGAAACACUACACCUGGCCAUCCCUGGAGUAUUUCUUCCUUCCUUCCUUCCUUGCUUCCUUCCUUCCUUUUUUCUUUUCCUCCCUCCCUCUCUCUUUCUUUCUUUGUUUCUUUUUCUCCCUUUCUUCCUUUCUUUCUUUCUUUUCUUUCUUUCUUCCUUCCUUUCUUUUUCUUUCUCUCUUUCUUUCUUCUUUCCUUCCUCCUUCCCUCCUUCCCUCCCCUCCCUCCCCCUCCCCUCCCUUCCUUCCUUCCUUCUUUCCUUCCUUCCUUCCUUUCUUCCUUCCUUCUUUCCUGUCUUAUUUCAAAACACAUGUCUUC